UACGUAGGGCGCAAGCGUUGUCCGGAAUUAUUGGGCGUAAAGAGCUCGUAGGCGGCCUGUUGCGUCCGCUGUGAAAACCCGGGGCUUAACCCCGGGCUUGCAGUGGAUACGGGCAGGCUGGAGGCAGGCAGGGGAGAAUGGAAUUCCCGGUGUAGCGGUGAAAUGCGCAGAUAUCGGGAGGAACACCCGUGGCGAAGGCGGCACUCUGGGACGGUACUGACGCUGAGACGCGAAAGCGUGGGGAGCAAACAGG
rnacentral:rRNA from 1 species